AGAUGAUGUUAAGGGCAAUUUUUUCACAUUCCUUUAUAUUUUUCCCAUGCUUCAUAUAAUUAUUCACCAAAAUUUAUUGGAAGUAUGUGGUAUUUUUUUUCAAUCU